rnacentral:rRNA from 1 species
UGGGGAAUAUUGGACAAUGGGCGCAAGCCUGAUCCAGCCAUGCCGCGUGAGUGACGAAGGUCUUCGGAUUGUAAAACUCUUUUGGCGGGGACGAUAAUGACGGUACCCGCAGAAUAAGCCCCGGCUAACUUCGUGCCAGCAGCCGCGGUAAUACGUAGGGACCAAGCGUUGUUCGGAUUUACUGGGCGUAAAGGGCGCGUAGGCGGCAUGACAAGUCACUUGUGAAAUCUCUGGGCUUAACCCAGAACGGCCAAGUGAUACUGUCGCGCUAGAGUGCAGAAGGGGCAAUCGGAAUUCUUGGUGUAGCGGUGAAAUGCGUAGAUAUCAAGAGGAACACCUGAGGUGAAGACGGGUUGCUGGGCUGACACUGACGCUGAGGCGCGAAAGCCAGGGGAGCAAACGGGAUUAGAUACCCCGGUAGUCCCUGAGCGGGCUGGCAAGGCGCAU